rnacentral:rRNA from 1 species
AAAGCCGGGGGCGCCUGAAGUCCGUGACCGCAAGGGUCGGCCUAGGGUGAAACCGGUGAUUGGGGCUAAGUCGUAACAAGGUAGCCGUACCGGAAGGUGCGGCUGGAACACCUCCUUUCUGGAGAGAC